rnacentral:lncRNA from 1 species
GUAGGAGCUAUCCCAUAAGAGGGGACGUUACCACCUGUUUCCUCACCUGUCAUGACAGAGUCCUACCUGUUCCCUCUUCCUUAAUUACUGCAAAGCUGUCUGGGGACUGUAGUGAAAGCAGCCGGAAUACACCAGAGAACUGUAACCCUGGUUACCCUGCAGCUAACCAACACAGAAUAGCCAGUCUACCAAGAGGCAGGCAUAAUAUCAACAAGCAGGAGAGCUAUAGUCUGAUGAGAGAGGAGUAUACAAAUAAGGAACCAGAUGUUACAUCAUCCACCCCUGGUAGUCCCAGGGUGACCCUGGAGAGGAGGCCAUCCUCAGCCAGGCAGGGGAUCUGCUCCUGGGCCAGGGAGAGCCUCCCUCUCCCCUUCUCACCAGCUCGGAAGUACAGCCUGGAGCAGCAUACCCAGAGACAGAGAACUAGUAACAGUUCUCUCAGCACAGCCAGUAGUUCACCGUUGGAGCCCAUGCCAUCCACUCUGAGUGUUAGACAUGAUAGCGGGAAGCUGAAAUCCCCUGUAGUGGAAAGCAGUAGGCUGUUCAGUGCUAAACUAGAGCAGAUGGCUAGCAGGACCAACUCUUUAGGUAGAAUACCACUGGAGUUCCACACUCUGGACCGAGGCAGUAGCCUGUCCUCUGUGAGCUCCAAGGGGUCCAAAAGUUUUGAAUGGGAGUCAAACCAUCCCACCCUACCCUGGGCCAGCAGGAGCCCAAGGAGGGCCCCUAGGCCCAUUCCCUUGACGGAUAACAACACCCCCAACACAGCCCAUUCUCCCAAAACCAGCAGGUCAACCUUUAUAACUGACCCCAACACAACCCUCCAGUCUCCAAGAUCCGGCCCGUCUAAGCUCUCUGCAGCAGGGAAACCCGCCCUAAUGCCCGCCGGAUCUCCAUCCCUAGUACCAAGAACCUCAGCUUCUCUCUCAAGGAGCUCCAUCAGUCCAUCAACAGGAGCACCGGUCUUUCCCCUGAUGGGAAGAGUCCUGAGCAAAGUCCACCCUGGUCCACCCAGUCUCUAAGCCAUAACCAGACCCGGUCGCCUCAGACCCCACCACCACGCCUUGCACCAAAGUCCCCCGUCCGGGUCAUCAACGGGCACAUCUUAGAGCUGCUUAGGGGGGCCUCCGGAGGACUACCCCCGGCAGUGGCCGGAGUUACCUGUAGAUCGAUGGGAGAGGCUCACGCUGAUCACCCUGUACCCUCGCCCUAUGCCAGGUUGACCGCCCCCGCAGGCCCAAUCACCUCAGCGGGCACGCCAGUGAUGUCACUAGCGUGUUGAGCGGGGAGCUGCCCCCGGCCAUGGGGAAGACAGCGUUAUUGACCAAUAGGGACAGCAUGGUGAGCAGUGGCUAUGAGAGCAUGGUAAGAGACAGCGAAGCCACAAGGAGCAACACAUCCAACAGAGACUCUAUCAGCGAUAAGAGCUGUUCUAUUAUCAGUGUGGCCCAGAUUGGGAGGAACCCUAAGAGGAGCAGCAGCAAUGGCUCCCACCCGCGGCGUCUCUCCCACGACACGUCCCUGUCUCUCAGGAGGUCAGCCAGUGCCCCCAGAUCUCGCUGGAUAGAGAGUGACAUCCCAGAGGCCUAUGAGAUCAAGGUGUAUGAGAUAGACGACGUGGAGAGGCUGCAGAGGAGGAGGAGACACACAGUUGACCUGUGGCAGACGUUUGAGGUGGACUCUCUGGAGCACCUGAAAGCCUUGGAGGUUGUCACGGCGAGGCUGGAGAGCAGGGUCAACCUCUGCAAUGUCAACGUCAUGAUGGUCACAUGCUUCGAUGUUGCCACCAAGCGCCGGCAAGCGAGGAGAUGACGUCGGACGGACAGCAGCAAGGACUCAUGGUAAUUUAGUGUUCAUUUUGUGUAAUUUUGUUCCCAGUGUUGUUAAUAGAUGUACAGCGAGAACGCCACGAUGGAAUACCACCGUCACAGAAAAAUUUUGACAAUUUUUGUUGGUGCUUAUCUGAAUUCCUCUUGAAAACAUAAACGUUUGCAUUUCAACUCCCAGUGUGGACUUCUCAUGAAGAAGAGGGAAUGAAAUCUCGGAAGACCACAGAGCACACUCACUCUGAAUGAUGUAUGUUCUGACUCAUGCAGA